GUUAAACCUGUGACCUUCGACAUUGCCAUUGACUUAUUCUACCACUGACAUGAAACUCAAUAAUCCAACAAUAUUACUUGUCUUUGUUGUUUAUAUUUUAGCCAAAAAAGCUAAAUAAUUUUUCCAAAUUUGAAAUGCUACUUGUAGAUCAUAGCUAAUAGAGUUCAUUAGUAGACUAUUAUGGUUAACCUGUGCAGUUGAUACUUC
rnacentral:lncRNA from 1 species